rnacentral:rRNA from 1 species
UUAGGUCUGACAUAAUCCCGCGAAAGCGGGACUAAAAUCAGAUGAUGCAGCGGCUCGACAUCGAGACAGUUGUUAAACCUUCGGGGCCUGAAGAUGAGCCUGCGUCUGAUUAGGUAGUUGGCGGGGUAAAAGCCCACCAAGCCUGCGAUCAGUAGCUGGUCUGAGAGGAUGAUCAGCCACACUGGAACUGAGACACGGUCCAGACUCCUACGGGAGGCAGCAGUAAGGAAUAUUGCUCAAUGGCCGAAAGGCUGAAGCAGCAACGCCGCGUGGAGGAUGAAAUAUUUUUGUAUGUAAACUCCUGUAAGAGGGGAAAAAUAUUCCGAUUUAUCGGAAUUGAUUGUACCCUCAGAGUAAGCACCGGCUAACUACGUGCCAGCAGCCGCGGUAAUACGUAGGGUGCUAGAGUUGUCCGGAUUUACUGGGUGUAAAGGGUGCUCAGGUGGGUUUGUAAGUCAGAGGUGAAAUCCCAAAGCUUAACUUUGGAGCUGCCUUUGAUACUGCAAGUCUGGAGUUUGAGAGAGGGCAAUGGAAUUAUCUGGUGUAGCAGUGAAAUGCGUAGAUAUCAGAUAGAACACCAAUGGCGAAGGCAGUUGCCUGGCUCAAAACUGACGCUAAAGCACGAAAGUGUGGGGAGCAAACAGGAUUAGAUACCCUGGUAGUCCCACGCCCUAAACGAUGCCAACUAGGUGUUGGGGAAGGAGACUUCCUUAGUACCGUAGCUAACGCGUGAAGUUGGCCGCCUGGGGAGUACGGUCGCAAGAUUAAAACUCAAAGGAAUUGACGGGGACCCGCACAAGCGGUGGAUGAUGUGGAUUAAUUCGAUGCAACGCGAAAAACCUUACCUACCCUUGACAUGCCAGGAACCCUGCUGAGAGGUGGGGGUGCCCGAAAGGGAGCCUGGACACAGGUGCUGCAUGGCUGUCGUCAGCUCGUGUCGUGAGAUGUUGGGUUAAGUCCCGCAACGAGCGCAACCCUUGUCAAUAGUUGCCAUCAUUCGGUUGGGCACUCUAUUGAGACUGCCGGUGACAAACCGGAGGAAGGUGGGGAUGACGUCAAGUCCUCAUGGCCCUUAUGGGUAGGGCUUCACACGUCAUACAAUGGUCGGUACAGAGGGUUGCCAAGCCGCGAGGUGGAGCCAAUCCCAGAAAGCCGAUCGUAGUCCGGAUCGGAGUCUGCAACUCGACUCCG